rnacentral:miRNA from 1 species
UUGAGGGGAGAAUGAGGUGGAGA